UGGUUCUGGCAUCGAUGAAGAACGCAGCGAAAUGCGAUAAGUAAUGCGAAUUGCAGAAUUUCCGUGAGUCAUCGAAUCUUUGAACGCACAUUGCGCCCUUUGGUAUUCCGAAGGGCAUACCUGUUCGAGCGUCAUUAUCCUUCUCUCACGCCCUGGGUUGCACCGGGACCGUGGCAUUGGAGCACCCACGUCGGUCGUUGGACCAACUGGCUCUCAAAAGUAAUGACGGCGUCUGUGGGACCCUCGACACACUGAGCUUUUUCGGGAGCACGUGUCGAGUUUCAAGGACCUUCCAGGCCGGCCUCAACCUCUAUUUUUCUCAGGUUGACCUCGGAUCAGGUAGGAAUACCCGCUGA
rnacentral:misc_RNA from 1 species